rnacentral:tRNA from 1 species
AUCUUCCUAGUAUGAACGUUAAUACAAGUGACUUCCAAUCACCCAAUCUUGGUUAAACCCCAAGGGAAGAUA